UGUGGCACAAACAAGUCUGCUCUGCAGGCAACAUACCUGGAUGCGGGGAACUCCUGUGAGGUCUACAGUACCGGGUGCGAGGUAACGCCUCCGCACCUACUGGUUACAACCUGUAGAAUAGGGACAAUCCGCAGCGGAUCUGGCCUCAGGCUGGACCGUUCAACGCUCGCUAAGGUAUGGGCCUUCUACAGGCUUAAGGUACGGGCUAUUCCCGCUGGAGACGGCGCCCCUAGUGAUCA
rnacentral:rRNA from 1 species